CCGAGUUGUAAUUUGUAGAGGAUGCUUCGGGUGUGGCCGCGGUCUAAGUCCCCUGGAACGGGGCGUCGCAGAGGGUGAGAAUCCCGUCUUCGGCCGGCCGGCUGCGCCCGUGUGAAGCUCCUUCGACGAGUCGAGUUGUUUGGGAAUGCAGCUCUAAAUGGGUGGUAAAUUUCAUCUAAAGCUAAAUACUGGUCGGAGACCGAUAGCGCACAAGUAGAGUGAUCGAAAGAUGAAAAGCACUUUGAAAAGAGAGUUAAACAGCAUGUGAAAUUGUUGAAAGGGAAGCGCUUGCGACCAGAGUCGGCCGCGGGGGUUCAGCGGGCAUUCGUUGCCCGUGCACUCCCCCGGGGCCGGGCCAGCGUCGGUUUCGACGGCCGGUCAAAGGCCCCCGGAAUGUGUCGCCUCUCGGGGCGUCUUAUAGCCGGGGGUGCAAUGCGGCCAGUCGGGACCGAGGAACGCGCUUCGGCACGGACGCUGGCUUAAUGGUCGUAAGCGACCCGUCUUGAAACACGGACCAAGGAGUCUAACAUCCACGCGAGUGUUCGGGUGUCAAACCCGUCCGCGCAGUGAAAGCGAACGGAGGUGGGAACCCUCAAGGGUGCACCAUCGACCGAUCCUGAAGUCUUCGGAUGGAUUUGAGUAAGA
rnacentral:rRNA from 1 species